rnacentral:lncRNA from 1 species
AUGCACACGAUUGUGCCAGAGAAAGCAUCUGUGGCCAGUGACCAGACAGGGCUGGCAGAGCUCCGAGGGAUCCUUCAUGCAAGGACGAUCGCACCCAGACGACCUGCUGCCGCCAGACCAUGUUUUCUAAGAACUGUUUUGUUCAUGGACACAAAAACAGGAAUUCAUGAUGCUGUACAGAAUUUUUAUUUUUAAACUGUCUUUUAAAUAAUAUAUUCUUAUACAGAAAUGGGUCUGUACUCUCUCUUUGGUAGAGUUUUGCACCCAUGGGCUUCUGAUGAGAUCUUCAGUAGAGACCAAGGACUCUUGUGCUUUCCCAAGGGUGUGUCUUAGCCUCUUGAGCGGUGAGAUGUGAGAUGUGACGCAGGAUCCUUGUAAAUUCCACAUUAAACGUCAGAAUGGCGCCCGAGUGUGGGACGUGUGCAUGUCCUGUGUUUAUGAGCAGAGGCAGGCAUCCGUGCCAUGUGCAGGAGCCAGGGGCUGAACCUGGGGGACCAUGCACAGGUGUGAUAAUGUGGGAGGCCUGACCGCAGACACAGCAACAGCCGUUGCUCACUUGCAGGGAGGUGGGAUUUACCACUCAAACCCUCAGUGUGUCUGGGGGACUCUGUCCC